rnacentral:tmRNA from 1 species
GGGGACGUUUUGGAUUCGACAGGGGAUGGUCGAGCAUUUUAAGCGUGUCGAAGGCGUCGGCUUCGUAAAAACGACAUCAGUUAUAAUAACUGGCAAACAAAACAAUUUAGUAGCAGCCUAAGCUAGCUACAUCAUCCCAUGUGCUCACCUGCGGCUCAUGACGAUGAUCCAAUUUAGCAGGAUACGUACACUUUCUUUCGUCUAGAGAACAGUGUAAAGAGAUCAAUUAGACUAGCAUAGAUUUCGGUUUGUUCCGUGCCACUUUCUAUGUGAAAUCUAAACGAGAACUACACACGUAGAAAGAAAUGUAACGAGUUCCUUGGACGCGGGUUCAACUCCCGCCGUCUCCAUGC